UACGUAGGGUGCAAGCGUUAAUCGGAAUUACUGGGCGUAAAGCGUGCGCAGGCGGUUAUUUAAGUCAGGUGUGAAAGCCCUGGGCUUAACCUAGGAAUUGCGCUUGAGACUGGAUAGCUUGGAGUGCGGCAGAGGGAGGUGGAAUUCCACGUGUAGCAGUGAAAUGCGUAGAGAUGUGGAGGAACACCGAUGGCGAAGGCAGCCUCCUGGGCCAGCACUGACGCUCAUGCACGAAAGCGUGGGGAGCAAACAGG
rnacentral:rRNA from 1 species